GGGGCUGAUCGGUUUCGACGUGAAGCUCGGAAGUCGGACGUGCGACCGGAGUUGCUCAGACUCCUUAAACGGGGCACCCAAACAGAGGCCGAUAACGACGACCUCGCUCUCGCCGCCUGAUCCAACUCAGGUAACCGAGACACAUAGCGACCGGUAACGGCACGCGGGGCCGGUCCACCGCAGCCCGGCAACAGAAGCGGUGGAGGACAGCAGGGAGAGACCGCUGACGGCGUGAAAGACCGCUGACACCGGAGAAAGAUCCGGCGGCAGGGCCCUCGUGGCCCACCCGACCCGGCGGGCUGGCAGCCGUAGAGCCAGUACUCGGGAAUGGUCGUAGCGCGGUCGAUGACCACUUGACGGACGAGGGUUCGAUUCCCUCCAGCUCCACCA
rnacentral:tmRNA from 1 species